GAUGAACGCUGGCGGCGUGCCUAAUACAUGCAAGUAGAACGCUGAAGGAGGAGCUCGCUCUUCUGGAUGAGUUGCGAACGGGUGAGUAACGCGUAGGUAACCUGCCUGGUAGCGGGGGAUAACUAUUGGAAACGAUAGCUAAUACCGCAUAACAGUAGAUAUUGCAUGAUAUCUGCUUGAAAGGUGCAAUUGCAUCACUACCAGAUGGACCUGCGUUGUAUUAGCUAGUUGGUGAGGUAACGGCUCACCAAGGCGACGAUACAUAGCCGACCUGAGAGGGUGAUCGGCCACACUGGGACUGAGACACGGCCCAGACUCCUACGGGAGGCAGCAGUAGGGAAUCUUCGGCAAUGGACGGAAGUCUGACCGAGCAACGCCGCGUGAGUGAAGAAGGUUUUCGGAUCGUAAAGCUCUGUUGUAAGAGAAGAACGAGUGUGAGAGUGGAAAGUUCACACUGUGACG
rnacentral:rRNA from 1 species